rnacentral:rRNA from 1 species
UACGGGGGGGGCAAGCGUUGUUCGGAAUUACUGGGCGUAAAGGGCUCGUAGGCGGCCAACUAAGUCGGAUGUGAAAUCCCCAGGCUUAACUUGGGAACUGCGUCUGAUACUGGAAGGCUUGAGUGCGGGAGAGGGAUGUAGAAUUCCAGGUGUAGCGGUGAAAUGCGUAGAUAUCUGGAGGAAUACCGGUGGCGAAGGCGGCAUCCUGGACCAUUACUGACGCUGAGGCGCGAAAGCUAGGGGAGCAAACGGG